rnacentral:lncRNA from 1 species
UGUGCAUCACUGUGCCCAGCCAUCCUUAUCUUUUUUUUAAAAUAUUUUUAGUUGUAGUUGGACACAAUACCUUUUAUUUAUUUAUUCAUUCAUUCUUAUGUGGUGCUGAGGAUCGAACCCAGCUCCUCACACAUGCUAGGUGAGCGCUCUACCACUGAGCCACAACCUCAGCCCCCAUCCUUAUCUUUUUGAUCCAUCAGUAGCAUCUAUCACAUCUGAUUACUUUCACCUCCUGAACUACUUUCUUCACUUGAUUUCCCAGACUUAGCACUUCGAUUAUCUUUUCUUUAAAAUAUUUUUUUUUAGUUGUUAAUUGGACCUUUAUUUUAUUUAUUUAUAUGUGGUACUGAGAAUCGAACCCAGUGCUUCACACAUGCUAGGCAAGCACUCUACCACUGAGCUGUACAACUCCAGCCCUUCCUUGUCUUUUCCUCUCAGUGCUGCUUUCCAAUCUCAUGAGCUAGUUUCUCCUUGUCUCUUUGACCUCUCUAUUUCCUAGUGUCUCAGAGCUCAGUCUUCAAAACUUUCUUUUAUCUACUACUUCUCUUUUUGUGGCCUCACCCACCGUCAUACUGUAAGGCAUAUCUAUAUGCUAAAAGAGUUUACAUUUUUUUAUUUCCCACCUGGAUUUCUCCCCUGAACUCUGCUAUCUGUCCAACUGCCUAUUUAGCAUCUCCACUAAGAUAUUUAAUAGCAUCUCAAACUUCACACGAACAGAACAGAGAUCCCAGUUCUGCUUAACUUCCUCUUGCAGUCUUUCCCAUUUCAGUAAGUGGCAUCUCAGAUUUUCCAUUGCUCAGGUAAAACCCCAAAGUCAUCUUGAAUACCUUUUCCUCUCACAUCUCACAUUCCAUCUUUCAACAAUGCUUGUUGGUCUUGGACAUAUUUUUAGAAUCCAAUCACUUCUCACCGCAGUCAGUGGUCCUAUUAUCUCUUGCCACAGUUGUUGUAGUGGCCUCCUAACUGGUCUCCCUGAAUUCAUCUCAGAUCCCCUAAAGUUUGUUUUAUUGAUUUAUUGAAGUACUAGGGAUUGAACCCAGGGGUAUUCUACCACUUAGCUCUACCCCCAGCCUUUUUUUAUUUUAUUUUGAGACUGUGUCUCACUAAGUUGUCCAGGCCAGUCUUGAACUUGUGAUCCCCCUAUCUCAGCCUCCUGAAUAGCUGAGAUUACAGAUGAGCACCACCAUGCCCAGGCAUAGAAUUUAUUUUUAACACAAAACCAGUUCUCUUUUUAACUAUAAGCCAGAUCACAUCACUCCGCUGCCCAAAAUCCUGCAACAGGUUUUAUUUCACUCAUAAUGAAGACCUGAGAGUCCCUCUGGGCCUGUCACUCUUACCUUCUAUCUUGCUCAUUCUGCUCCAGCCUGCCAACUGGUAGCUUCUACUCCCACCUUGGGGCCUUUGCACUUGCUGUUGCUUUGGCUGUGAAAGCUGUCUUCCAAAGUAUCUGCCUGGGUCUCUGCUAAAAUGUCACCUUUACAGGGUCUACAUCUCCCUUGGCUAUCCUAUAUGCAAUUACAACUCUCCUUACCUUAGCAAUUUCUAUAUCCCUAUAUGGCUUUAUUUUUCCCUUUAGCACUCAGCACCACCUGAUACACUAAUGCCUACUUCAUUUAUCUAAUUGUAUUGACCAGCUUUCCCAAACUAGAAUGUAGACUCCUUCAAGGCCAGGCACUCUGUGAGUUCACUGUUGUGUCUGACUAGGAUGGUUUCUGGCACACAGUAUGCAUUCCAUAAACAUCUGUCUUGUGAAUUAGUGAAUGGACUCUAUCCCCAGGAUUCUUUCUGGUAUCCAACAUAAAUAUUCAAAUGCAUAUUGGACGGCUCCAUGUUGAAAUGAAAAUUCAACAUGUCCCAAAUGGAACUCAGUAUUUUUCUGACCCCAGCUCGAACCUGCUGUUCCUCCUGAGUCCCCGUCUCAACACAGCCACAACCAUCCUUUCAACUGUGCAAGCAGAAACAGAAUCCUCUCUGACAACCUCUUUUCCUCACCCCAACAUUUCAUCAAGCACCAAGUUUUGUUGAUUUUAUUCUUAAAAUUCCAUGAACAUGUUAAAUGCUGACUUCUUUUCUUUUCAAUCUACAUUUUUGUCCAUAUCACCACCUUCAGUGUCCUAAGGAGAUGCCCUGCCUCCUCUCUGGUCACAAGAGUGAAUUCUAGUCUUACCUCGUUUUUCUCCCUGAAACACCUCAAGGGCUCACAUAAUCCCCAUAUAACGCAAUGUUCAAGCAUUUUCAUGACCUAUUUUGUUUGUUUGUUUGUUUCUGCCUAACUUUGUUAACUUUUUCUUUGGAGAGAUUUUUCAGGUGACAUUUGCUCUGACUGAAAUGUUCUUUCCAUCCCUUGGUAUGGCUGCCAUUCACUAUUCUCCAGGCCUCAACUGAGAUGUUACUUCUAAACCUGCUCUGAUGCGCCAAUGCUUUCAGAGCACCAUGCCCUUCCCUCACCAUAACCCUGACCAUACCAUGUUAUAACUCAUCUUUACUUGUCCUUAAGCUCUGGACAGAAACGAGUACAAAAGGCCUGUUGAGUCUUUGCAUGUUUAACCCAAUCUUGAUUUCUGCUUUUCAGAGGACCUGAACUCAUACGAACAGAAACUUCUGCUUUUACCUCAAUUGAUAUUUAAGCUUUCUGACACAGAAUAAUAGCAGGUUCCCAUUUCUGAGGAUGAACUUACCCAAUUCCUGAGUUUUUCUUUCCUUCCUUCCUCCCUCCCUCCCUCCCUCCCUUCCUUCCUUCCUUCUCUUUCUUUUUUUUCCUGGUGGUCCAACACUGAGCUACCUUCCCAGUCCUUUUUAUUCUAUUUUGAGACAGGGUCUCACUAAGUUGCUGACCAUGUAUGAACUUGUGAUCUUCCUGCUUCAGCUUCCUGAGUAGCUGGAAUUACAGGUGUGUACCACUAUGUCCAACAAGUUUUAUAUAUAAUUUGUAAAUGGACAAAAUACCUUUAUUUUAAUAUGGUGCGAGGAUCGAACCCAGGGCCUCACAGAUGUUAGGCAAGAGCUCUACCACUGAGCUACAACCACAGCUUGAGUUUUCUGUUUUCAAGCCAAAUUUUCCCUCCAUAAAUGCUCAUCCUUCUAUUUCAUAUGGAAAAGGAACAAGCAGCUGAUUUAAUUUACAAUAGUUUCAAAUUCAUAGUGCAACACAAAAAGAAUGGAGGCUCUGUGAUAGCUUUGCUAACAUGGUUUGUUUGUUUAUUUGAUAUUGGGGAUUGAACCAGAGGUGUGCUACCACUUAGCUACGUAGCCAGAUCUUUUUAUUUUUGAUUCUGAGACAGGCUCUCAGUAAGUUUUUGAGGAUGGCCUUGAACUUUUA